rnacentral:rRNA from 1 species
UACGUAGGGGGCAAGCGUUGUCCGGAUUUACUGGGUGUAAAGGGUGCUCAGGUGGACUUUUAAGUCAGAGGUGAAAUCCCAAAGCUUAACUUUGGAGCUGCCUUUGAUACUGAAAGUCUAGAGUUUGAGAGAGGGCAAUGGAAUAUCUGGUGUAGCAGUGAAAUGCGUAGAUAUCAGAUAGAACACCAAUGGCGAAGGCAGUUGCCUGGCUCAAAACUGACACUAAAGCACGAAAGUGUGGGGAGCGAACAGG